GAGCGAACCUAGCGAACUGAAACAUCUUAGUAGCUAGAGGAAGAGAAAGAAAAAUCGAUUUCCUAAGUAGUGGUGAGCGAACAGGAAUCAGCCUAAACCAGCAAUUUUAAUUACUGGGGUAGUGGGAAAGCGAUAUGGAAGCUGGAAGCUAGAUGAAGCAGCCAAAAACUGCACCAAAGAAGGUGAUAGUCCUGUAGUCGAAAGUGGAAAGAUACUAGCUUAAUCCCGAGUAGCACGGGGCACGAGAAAUCCCGUGUGAAUCAGCGAGGACCACCUCGUAAGGCUAAAUACUACUGCGUGACCGAUAGUGAAACAGUACCGCGAGGGAAAGGUGAAAAGAACCCCGAACAGGGGAGUGAAAUAGAACCUGAAACCGUGUGCUUAC
rnacentral:rRNA from 14 species